rnacentral:rRNA from 1 species
UACGGAGGAUGCGAGCGUUAUCCGGAUUUAUUGGGUUUAAAGGGUGCGUAGGCGGGUUUUUAAGUCAGCGGUGAAAGUUUGAGGCUCAACCUUAAAAUUGCCGUUGAAACUGGGGACCUUGAGUAUAGAUGAAGUAGGCGGAAUUUGUGGUGUAGCGGUGAAAUGCUUAGAUAUCACGAGGAACUCCAAUUGCGAAGGCAGCUUACUAAGGUAUAACUGACGCUGAGGCACGAAAGUGUGGGUAUCAAAC